UACGGGGGGGGGCAAGCGUUGUUCGGAAUUACUGGGCGUAAAGGGCGCGUAGGCGGCCUUCUAAGUCGGACGUGAAAUCCCUCGGCUUAACCGGGGAACUGCGUCUGAUACUGGAUGGCUUGAGAUUGGGAGAGGGAUGCGGAAUUCCAGGUGUAGCGGUGAAAUGCGUAGAUAUCUGGAGGAACACCGGUGGCGAAGGCGGCAUCCUGGACCAACACUGACACUGAGGAGCGAAAGCCAGGGGAGCAAACGGG
rnacentral:rRNA from 1 species